rnacentral:rRNA from 2 species
GGUGAAAGAACUAUAUAAAGCACUAAAAAGCAAAGACAAGCUCUUAUACCUUCCGCAUAAUGUAUUAACUAGAAGUAACUUUACACAGAGGAUUAUAGCCAAGUCCCCCAAAACCAGAUGAGCUACCCAAGAACAACUGAAGAGUACACCCAUCUAUGUGGCAAAAUAGUUGGGAGAUUCAUGACUAGCGGUGACAAGCCUACCAAGCCUGGUGAUAGUUGGUUGUCCAACGUGGAAUCUUAGUUCAACUUUAAACUUACCCACAGAAUUAUUUACUCUCCCUGUAAAUUUAGCUGUUAGUCUAAGAGGGACAGCUCUGUAGACCCUAGGAAACGACGUUCCUACAGAGAGUAAAAAAUACUACCACCAUAGUUGGCCCAAACGCAGCCACCAAUUAAGAAAGCAUUUAAAGCUCAACAUCUAACUAUCUUCAAUUCUAAUCACUCUACUGAACUCCUAACAUCAUACUGGACUAAUCAAUUACUUAAUAGAACCAAUAAUGUUAAUAUAAACAUUCUCCAUUGCAUACGUUUACAUCAGACUGGAAUAACCCACUGACAGUUAACAACCUAAUAUUAAUAAAUGAUAUAAUAAGCACCCUAUUAUUUACACUGUUAACCCAACUAAGGUAUGCUCUAAGGAAAGAUUGCAAAAAGUAAGAGGAACAUGACAAAUCUUACCCCACCUGUUUACCAAAAACAUCACCUCUAGCAUUACCAGUUUUAGAGUCACUGCCUGCCCGGUGACAUAUGUUCAACGGCCAUGGUAUCCUGACCGUGCAAAGGUAGCAUAAUCGCUUGUUCCCUAAAUAGGGACUUGUAUGAAUGGACACACAAGGGUUCAGCUGUCUCUUACUUUUAAUCAGUGAAAUUGACCUAUCUGUGAAGAGGCGGAUAUAAACAAAUGAGACUAGAAAACCCUAUGGAGCUUUAAUUCAUUAAUGCAAAUAAAAACCCAAACAAGUCUAGAGGCCCUGGCCUACUAUCCCUGCAUUAAAAAUUUUGGUUGGGGUGAGCUCGGAGCAUAGUUCAACCUCCGAACAACCUAAACUAAGACUGCAGUAGUCUAAGCGAGUUAGUACACAUUGACCAAAUAAUUCAAUCAACGGAAUAAAUUACCCUACGGAUAAAAGUAUUGACAAUAGGGUUUACAACCUCGAUGUUGGAUGAGGACAUCCUAAUGGUGUAGCCGCUAUUAAGGGUUCGUUUGUUUAACGGUUAAAGUUCUAUGUGAUCUGAGUUCAGACCUGAGUAAUCCAGGUCAGUUUCUAUCUAUAUAACAUUUAUCUU